CAGUAGGGAGGAAGGUAGUGUAGUUAACACCUGCAUUAUUUGACGUUACCUACAGAAGAAGCACCGGCUAACUCCGUGCCAGCAGCCGCGGUAAGUACGGAGGGUGCGAGCGUUAAUCGGAAUUACUGGGCGUAAAGCGCAUGCAGGCGGCCUGUUAAGUCAGAUGUGAAAGGACCCGGGGACCGUUUAACCCGUUACCGGUAAAGUUGCUAUUUAGUAAACUAGGCGAGGCUAGAGUCUUGUAGAGGGGGGUAGGAAUUUCAGGUGUAGCGGUGAAAUGCGUAGAGAUCUGAAGGAAUACCAGUGGCGAAGGCGGCCCCCUGGACAAAGACUGACGCUCAGAUGCGAAAGCGUGGGGAGCAAACAGGAUUAGAUACCCUGGUAG
rnacentral:rRNA from 1 species